CUCCUCUCAGGGUGGCACCUGGAGAGUUUCUAAUACUCUACCAGUCUCGACUAUGGGAGGGAGAAUCAAGCAGGGGUAUAUCCAUUCCAUUCCUAGCUUGGGCAGUGGCUAGCGAGUGGAAGGAAAUCUGAUACAAGU
rfam:Ornithorhynchus anatinus chromosome 4, whole genome shotgun sequence.